ensembl:lncRNA
ACAACCCCGCUCACAUGCUCUGCUCUUGGAGCAUUCAGAGGGCACACUGGACGCUCUGGCCAAGGAGUAGUUUUGAUCCAAGCUAUUUGACCACACAAAGGCAGUCAAGCACCCAAGGUAACUGACUAAAGUUGGCUAGCUUGCUAGCUACUUCCAGACACCUCACUCUAACCAUUUUACUCGCAAACUGGUUAGGCUGUUUUCAUGUUAUCUAGAGUGUAGGUGACUGUAACUGCAGCUGGCAACAAUUGAAUAAAACAUUUUUACCAACGUUUACUUACACCGUUCAUAUUCAACUGGUUUUGUACAUUUGUAAAUGCAUCAGUUAUUCUGCACUCUGACACAAUCAGAAGAGAGUGAUCUAAAACCAUCCCCAGAAGAAAAAAUGUGUCCCGCGACUGAAUCUAGUUGACGAUCCCUGAUAUAGGCUAUGUAUUGGAUAACAGCACAAUAAUUUGGGCUUGAGCUCAUUAAAUGUAUUUAAUGUAUGGCUCAUCAGGCUCAAGUAGCAUCAGGCAUGAAUUUUCUAUCAAAGCUCUCAUCAAAUCCAGACAGGCCUCUUUAUAUGCUUUAUAAUGCUUUUGAAUGACACUUCCUGUUUUGGUGGGAAAUACCGGGCUACCCGGGAGAAAAUGUAUUUAUUUUCGGGAUGGAACAUUUGUUAAAUACCUGGAAAAUAUUCAACCCUACUCUGGACGGCUGUCUGUUUCCUACACCACGACGAAAGAUUAAAUAAAUAAUUUUCUCUGGGCUACGUGGGGCAGAACGUGGUCAACGGCAGAGUCACUGUUAUGACGGUCCCCGAGCUCAACCCCACACAUCAACCAAAGGGCUGGAGUCAAAGAAAAGACCCAGAACCUUCCAUCAAACCCCCACUAGCAGGACAGUGAGGACAGAUAUAAGUAUGUGUAUUGACUCAAGCCAACAACUUUAAAGGAAGUAUGAAAUGAUUGCUUUGUUGAAAUAAAUAUUUGUCUUAACUAUUGGCUCAACCAUUGAAAUGUUUUGUUGAAGUCAUUCUAUCCUAUCAGUGAGGUGAUGGUUCUCUAUUCUCCCAGCAGGGGGCCACACAUGGCUGAGGAUCUCUACUGAAUAACGGAGCAGAAAAACAGGAUAAAUGGCAGAUGUAUUAUCAUAUCUACACACUAGGGGGAGAAGACACCAAAGAAGAUCUUGACAUCUUCUCCAUUUGGUCUCUUUUGAUCAGCCUGAGAGGUCUUCACAGGUCCUACUGAACCCGAAAUCCAACCAAAAUUCAAACCUUUCCCUCGGGUCCUUGUCGGGUCCUGUUUGAUUAUCAUCGGGUCUCGGGUCUAUGUAACCACAGCUGAUAGAACCGACUGGACACGAAUGGAUCCAACAAGGGCUCUGCAUAGCCAAUAGCAUAUGUAUUUUACGCUAACAACGUGCAUUCAUGGACUUAUAGAAGACCUAACCAACAGAUAAAGACUUGGCUGAUUAACAUUAUUGUUUGUCACUCGGUUCGGGUUUAGACCCGGACCCGUUGGGGUAUGGGUUGGGUCUAGGUCUGGUUGUUGUCGAGUCCAUUCAGGUUCGGGUCUGAUUGUUCUCGUGUCCGUUAGUGUCCGGGUUCAACUUUUUGGAAAUGUGAAGCGCUCUACUUUAAACAACCUAAAUAUAUGAAAGAUAAAAUACGGCCUUUAGAGCGCACUGAUUGUUCAGGGACACCACGGUAUCUGUCUGUCUGUGUGUGUUAAAAGCAGAGAAAACAUCCAUAGCGGUGUUUCUCUUCUUGUGACUAGCAGUGCCCGCCCAGUAAGCAGACUGCAGCAGCUCUCCCCAUUCUAUAAGAGUUCUGUCACGCCCUGGCCAUAGAGAGGCUUUUUAUUCUCUGUUUUGGUUAGGCCAGGGUGUUACUUGGGUGGGCAUUCUAUGUUCUUUUUUCUAUGUUUUUGUAUUUCUUUGUUUUUGGCUGGGUAUGGUUCUCAAUCAGGGACAGCUGUCUUGUCUCUGAUUGAGAACCAUACUUAGGUAGCUCUUGCCCACAUGGGUUUUGUGGGUAGUUGUUUCCCGU